GGGUCCUUUAACAAGUUCUGGAUUGAUGACCUUCUGCCAGCGAUGCAGACAUUGCACUUCCGAUCUAUCCGGGAAGAACUCAGCUAUUUUCUUCCAACAUUUCCCUCUGUAAACUGAAACAGCCUGUUUCAAAGUAUCAUCCUCCUCAGGAGUCCAACCACCCUUUGCUCGCCUUAUUGGACCAGUGGUUCUCCUGUGAGUUGGUGACGCAGGGGUUG
rnacentral:misc_RNA from 1 species